rnacentral:rRNA from 1 species
GAUGAACGCUGGCGGCGUGCCUAAUACAUGCAAGUCGAGCGAAUGGAUUAAGAGCUUGCUCUUAUGAAGUUAGCGGCGGACGGGUGAGUAACACGUGGGUAACCUGCCCAUAAGACUGGGAUAACUCCGGGAAACCGGGGCUAAUACCGGAUAACAUUUUGAACCGCAUGGUUAGAAAUUGAAAGGCGGCUUCGGCUGUCACUUAUGGAUGGACCCGGGUCGCAUUAGCUAGUUGGGGAGGUAACGGCUCACCAAGGCAACGAUGCGUGGCCGACCUGAGGCGGUGAGCGGCCAAACUGGAACUGAGACACGGCCCAGACUCCUACGGGAGGCAGCAGUAGGGAAUCUUCCGCAAUGGACGAAAGUCUGACGGAGCAACGCCGCGUGAGUGAUGAAGGCUUUCGGGUCGUAAAACUCUGUUGUUAGGGAAGAACAAGUGCUAGUUGAAUAAGCUGGCACCUUGACGGUACCUAACCAGAAAGCCACGGCUAACUACGUGCCAGCCGCCGCAGUAA